rnacentral:rRNA from 1 species
GUAGGGUGCGAGCGUUAAUCGGAAUNACUGGGCGUAAAGCGUGCGCAGGCGGUUGGGUAAGACAGAUGUGAAAUCCCCGGGCUUAACCUGGGAACUGCAUUUGUGACUGUCCGACUGGAGUAUGUCAGAGGGGGGUGGAAUUCCAAGUGUAGCAGUGAAAUGCGUAGAUAUUUGGAAGAACACCGAUGGCGAAGGCAGCCCCCUGGGGCAAAACUGACGCUCAUGCACGAAAGCGUGGGGAGCGAACAGGAUUAGAUACCCUGGUAGUCCACACAGUAAACGAUGAAUACUCGCUGUUUGCGAUAUACAGCAAGCGGCCAAGCGAAAGCAUUAAGUAUUCCACCUGGGGAGUACGCCGGCAACGGUGAAACUCAAAGG